rnacentral:rRNA from 1 species
UACAGAGGUCUCAAGCGUUGUUCGGAUUCAUUGGGCGUAAAGGGUGCGUAGGCGGCGCGGUAAGUCGGGUGUGAAAUCUCGGAGCUUAACUCCGAAACUGCAUUCGAUACUGCCGUGCUUGAGGACUGGAGAGGAGACUGGAAUUUACGGUGUAGCGGUGAAAUGCGUAGAUAUCGUAAGGAAGACCAGUGGCGAAGGCGGGUCUCUGGACAGUUCCUAACGCUGAGGCACGAAGGUCAGGGGAGCAAACGGGG